AUGUACAUUUCUGGAACCGAGACACUCAGCUUCCGCGGCGAGUAUCUGCGGGGCUACGGCAAGUUCAUGAGAAAAGAUGUCCUUGAACAAUCAGCGAAUCUGAUGGAUGAUCGUUUCACCAUCCGGUGUGACAUCAUGGUCUGCAACACCGAGGAUGUCGGUCGCAACAAGGUGCUCCUGUCUGAAAUAGACCAACAUUUAAACAAUCUCCUUCAGACUAAGGUUGGUGCUGAUGUGACAUUCGAGGUCAACGGCGAGAUGUUCGCUGCACACCGAUGUGUGCUUGCAGCCCGUUCUAAGGUCUUCGUGGCACAAUUCUUCGGCCCCAUGAAGGAGGGCACUGCUGCAUCAAGUGCCAUCCAGAUCAAAGACAUGGAAGCAAAAGUGUUCAGGGCUUUGCUUAGCUUCAUCUACACGGACUCACUCCCUCUAUUGGAGGAGGACGACAUGGAGGAGGACGAAGGAGAGGCCAUGGAAGAAGGGCAAGAAGAGGAAGCAGCAGAGGAUGAAAUGGCAGAAGUUGCGGAACAAGGAGAAGGAGAGGAACCAGCAGAGGAUGAAACGGAGCUGCAAUGGCUACAAGACUUGCUUGUAGCCGCAGACAGAUAUGAUCUCCAGCGGCUCAGGUUUAUCUGUGAAAAGCGACUGUCUGAGCGCAUAGGUGUGACCUCGGUGGCGUCCACUCUUGCUCUAGCUGAGCAGCGCCACUGCCGCGGAUUGAAGGAGGCGUGCUUGAAGUUUAUCCAAGUCCAAUCUCCCUUGAGUUUGCAAAAAGUAAUGGCGACCGAUGGCUGGGAGCCGUUAAUUACGACCUAUCCCUCUGUUUUGAACGAGCUCAUUGCCAAACUUGCUUCAAACCAGAAGUAA
rnacentral:rRNA from 1 species